rnacentral:rRNA from 1 species
GCAACGCGAAGAACCUUACCUGGGCUUGACAUGUACGUAGUAGUGAAGGGAAACCGGAACGAGCCUUCGGGCAGCGUAGACAGGUGCUGCAUGGCUGUCGUCAGCUCGUGUCGUGAGAUGUUGGGUUAAGUCCCGCAACGAGCGCAACCCGUGUUGCUAGUUACAAGUGUCUAGCGAGACUGCCGGUAACAAGCCGGAGGAAGGUGCGGAUGAUGUCAAGUCAGCAUGGCCUAUAUAUCCAGGGCUACACACACGCUACAAUGGCUGGUACAAAGAGAAGCGAAAGGGAGACCUGAAGCGAAUCUCAUCAAAGCCAGUCAUAGUUCGGAUUGCAGGCUGCAACUCGCCUGCAUGAAGUCGGAGUUGCUAGUAACCGCAGGUCAGCAAUACUGCGGUGAAUACGUUCCCGGGCCUUGUACACAC